rnacentral:pre_miRNA from 1 species
CAGUUUUUGAUGUCGCAGAUACUGCAUCAGGAACUGAUUGGAUAAGAAUCGGUCACCAUCAGUUCCUAAUGCAUUGCCUUCAGCAUCUAAACA